rfam:Candidatus Giovannonibacteria bacterium RIFCSPLOWO2_12_43_8 rifcsplowo2_12_sub10_scaffold_2096, whole genome shotgun sequence.
UGCGGGGUCGUCUAAUGGUAGGACGCGCGGCUCUGAACCGCGUAAUCCUGGUUCGAGUCCAGGCCUCGCAG